rnacentral:rRNA from 1 species
UUAGUGGCGGACGGGUGAGUAACGCGUGGGCAACCUGCCCCGUGCCCGGGGGGUAUACCGCCUGGAAACAGGCGCUAAUACCGCAUAAGCGCAUACAGCCGCAUGGCAGUAUGCGGAAAGCUCCGGCGGCACGGGAUGGGCCCGCGCCCGAUUAGCCAGUUGGCGGGGUAACGGCCCACCAAAGCGACGAUCGGUAGCCGGCCUGAGAGGGCGGACGGCCACAUUGGGACUGAGACACGGCCCAAACUCCUACGGAAGGCAGCAG